rnacentral:rRNA from 1 species
GUCUUUAUGAAGAUAUAUACAGUCUGGCCUGCCCACUGAAUUUUUAAAGGGCCGCGGUAUUUCUGACCGUGCGAAGGUAGCAUAAUCAUUAGUCUUUUAAUUUGAGGCUCGUAUGAAUGGUCGGACGAGGGAUAAACUGUUUGCAGAUAAAAAACUUGAACUUAACUUUUGAGUGAAAAGGCUCAAAUACUUCAAAAAGACGAUAAGACCCUAUAAAUCUUAACAUUAAAUUUUGUGUUAUCCUAGUUUGUUAGUGUAAAGGAAACCACAAUAAAAAUGUUAUGUUGGGGCAACAAAGAUAUAAAAAAAUUAACUGUUUUAUCAUACACACAAAAAUCAUUGAUCACAAUAGAUCCUUUUUAAAGAUUUAAAGAUUAAGUUACUUUAGGGAUAACAGCGUUAUUCUUUUUGAGAGUCCUCAUCGAAAAAAGAGUUUGCGACCUCGAUGUUGAAUUAGAAGAUCUCUAUGGUGCAGCAGCUAUAGAAGAAAGUCUGUUCGACUUUUAAACUUCU